GCCCGGUUAGCUCAAUCGGUAGAGCGUGAGACUCUUAAUCUCAAGGUUGCGGGUAAGUUGUUAUACUAAACAAGCAUUUAAUAAGAGCAAUUAUCCUAACCCAUUAAUCAAAAGGUUCGACCCCCGCAUCGGGCU